rnacentral:rRNA from 1 species
UACGUAGGGUGCAAGCGUUGUCCGGAAUUAUUGGGCGUAAAGAGCUCGUAGGCGGUUUGUCGCGUCUGCUGUGAAAACUCGGGGCUUAACUCCGGGCCUGCAGUGGGUACGGGGCAGACUAGAGUGCGGUAGGGGAGACUGGAAUUCCUGGUGUAGCGGUGAAAUGCGCAGAUAUCAGGAGGAACACCGGUGGCGAAGGCGGGUCUCUGGGCCGUAACUGACGCUGAGGAGCGAAAGCGUGGGGAGCGAACAGG